rnacentral:rRNA from 1 species
AACGUAGGGGGCAAGCGUUAUUCGGAUUUACUGGGCGUAAAGCGCGUGCAGGCGGCUCUACAAGUCGGACGUUAAAUCUCCUGGCUCAACUAGGAGCGGUCGUUCGAAACUGUGGGGCUUGAGGUUGGGAGAGGGAAGCGGAAUUCCCGGUGUAGUGGUGGAAUGCGUAGAUAUCGGGAGGAACACCAGUGGCGAAAGCGGCUUCCUGGCCCACACCUGACGCUAAGACGCGAAAGCGUGGGGAGCGAAC